UGUGGGUUCACAAGCAGCGUUUUGGGGUGUCUCCACCAUGGCCUGGACCCCUCUCCUGCUCCCCCUCCUCACUCUCUGCACAGGCUCUGUGACCUCCUCUGUGCUGACUCAGUCACCUUCAGUGUCUGUGUCACUGGGACAGACAACCAGGAUCACCUGUCAGGGAGGAAACUUAGGAAGCUAUUAUUCUCACUGGUACCAGCAGAAGCCAGAUCAGCGCCCUGCACUGCUCAUCUAUCUGGAUAGCAACCGGGCCUCAGGGGUCCCUGACCGGUUCUCCGGCUCCCGCUCAGGUGGAACGGCCACCCUGACCAUCACUGGGGUCCAGGCUGAGGACGAGGCUGACUAUUUCUGUCAGUCAGUGGACAGUGGUAACCUUGCACAGUGA